AGAAUCAACGCUGGCGGCGUGCCUCUGACAUGCAAGUCGAACGCGAAAGUCCCCUUCGGGGGGCAAGUAGAGUGGCGCACGGGUGAGUAACACGUAGGUAAUCUACCUUUGGAUGGGGAAUAACAAUCGGAAACGAUUGCUAAUACCGCAUAAUGCAGCGGCACCUAAUGGUGACAGUUGUUAAAAGCGGGGGAUCGAAAGACCUCGCGUCUGAAGAGGAGCCUGCGGCGGAUUAGCUAGUUGGUAAGGUAAUGGCUUACCAAGGCUACGAUCC
rnacentral:rRNA from 1 species